UAUCGUCACAAUCAGUGGCGGGCGGCGC
rnacentral:sRNA from 1 species